GCCCUAUGAAACAAAGCAAAAUUGAUAAUAACAACUGUAACAGAUGAUACUUUAGACAUAUUACAGACAAUAAAUUAUGUACAAAUUUAAAGCACCAAUUUAGCCAAUACUUAUUCAACCAUUUAGGCCAAAAAUAAAAUAUUGUUUGUUUCCCCUCACACGACCGACCCGGUAAAAUCACUGCGACCCGAAAAAUUUUAUUGGCCAUUCUUGACCAUUUUUUUUUUUUUUUUUUUUCCUGCUAUGUUGGUUAUUGGUGAUACCUUUGCGAUGCUGUAGUCAACGAGCGUUUUAAAUCAAGGCAUUUUUGCAAUAAAGCGCCUACAAGAUUCGGAAUCAAGGAAACAAACAAAAUGUUUGCCACACGGUUUGUUUGCAAGGGUGAUCUUUUUUGAAAAUAAAAAAAACCUGAAGCAUCUUUCAACCCGCUGAGUGCAUCUUGAUUUGCUUUGUGUCUAACCUCUGUUCCUGUUUGAAGGAUACAAUCUUAACGACUUUGAGUAAAAAUGGUCUGAAUCGUGCUUUAAAAUCUAUCUACUUUGUCUUUGAACAGGUUGGGCACAAGUCAGGAAAUGUGGGAUACAUGUAUUCCCUGUUUUCAGGAAACGUCCCUGUUUUCUGGUGUAAAAAAAAACAAGUUUAAAUGGGAUUUCCUUUUUCAAUUUAUGGCAUGAAAAUUACAAAAGGGCACGUUUUAAUGUUAUAACUGCAUCAGUAGAAUUCGUAAAUACUUAUUAAAAGUAUUUUAGGAAAUACAAAACAUGAAUAUAAAGUGAAGCCUUGUUUCUUCUAGAACUCGAAAAAAACAUACAAAUCUUUGUUUAGGAAUCAAUUGACUAAACUGCAUGAUCCAGGUGUAACUCAACAUCACUAAAUUAUGUUCACUUCUAUUGAAAAAUUUUAUUCAUUGAAUUUCAAUUCCC
rnacentral:lncRNA from 1 species